GCUAGCGGCAGGCUUAAUACAUGCAAGUCGAGGGGUAACAGGGUCUUCGGAUCGCUGACGACCGGCGCACGGGUGCGUAACGCGUAUGCAACCUACCUCUAACUGGGGAAUAGCCCCGAGAAAUCGGGAUUAAUACCCCAUAAUAUUCAUCAUUCGCAUGUUUGAUGAAUUAAAGUUCCGACGGUUAGAGAUGGGCAUGCGUGACAUUAGCUAGUUGGUGAGGUAACGGCUCACCAAGGCAACGAUGUCUA
rnacentral:rRNA from 1 species